GACGAACGCUGGCGGCGUGCUUAACACAUGCAAGUCGAACGGAAAGGCCUCUUUCGGGGGGUACUCGAGUGGCGAACGGGUGAGUAACACGUGAGUAACCUGCCCUUGACUUUGGGAUAACUUCAGGAAACUGGGGCUAAUACCGGAUAGGAGCUCCUGCUGCAGGGUGGGGGUUGGAGAGUUUCGGCGGUUGGGGUUGGACUCGCGGCGUAUCCGCUUGGUGGUGGGGUAGUGGCUUACCAAGGCCUUGGCGGGUAGCCGGCCUGGGAGGGGGACCGGCCACAAUGGGACUGAGAUACGGCCCAGACGCCGACGGGAGGCAGCAGGGGGGAAUAUUGCACAAGGGGUGGAAGCCUGAUGCAGCAACGCCGGGGGCGGGAUGACGGCCUUCGGGUUGUAAACCGCUUUCGCUCAUGACGAAGCUUUGUGUGACGGUAGUGGGUAAAGAAGCACCGGCUAACUACGUG
rnacentral:rRNA from 1 species